rnacentral:rRNA from 1 species
CCGGCGAACGGGUGCGUAACACGUGAACAACCUGCCCUCGUGUGGGGGAUAGCCAUGCUAACGCGUGGGUAAUACCGCAUACGUUCUUCUGGAGGAGUCUCCGGGGGAAGAAAGCUCUGGCGCACGGGGAGGGGUUCGCGGCCUAUCAGCUAGUUGGGGGGUAACGGCCUCCCAAGGCGACGACGGGUAGCUGGUCUGAGAGGAUGGCCAGCCACAUUGGGACUGAGAUACGGCCCAG